UGUGUAUCUUGGUUUGAAUUAAGAGUAGACACCAUGAUUUAAUUCAAAUUGAACUAUGAAUAGGAAGAGUAUGUAUGGACAUUCGACAACAGGGAUUAGAUACAUACUUGGUUGUUUAAAACAUUCUUCUAUGCUUAAUGGAUUCCUAAUGCUUAAUUUUAGGUUAGACAACAGAUGAUCAAAUUAAGGAAUUAGGAAUACAAGGUUAGGACCAGGCACCAUGACUUACUCAUACUUUAGCUAGAAUCAAUCCUUGAAUCUGAAUUAGACUUGUCACUUGAAUCCUUAUAACCCAGAAUUGAAUUGUUAUGGUGAAUCGAAUGCCCUAGCCAACAAAUCUGUUUUUCAACCUUCAAACCCAACCUUCGUCACAAUGGCUC
rnacentral:lncRNA from 1 species